rnacentral:rRNA from 1 species
GACGAACGCUGGCGGCGUGCUUAACACAUGCAAGUCGAACGGAAAGGCCCUGCUUUUGUGGGGUGCUCGAGUGGCGAACGGGUGAGUAACACGUGAGUAACCUGCCCUUGACUUUGGGAUAACUUCAGGAAACUGGGGCUAAUACCGGAUAGGAGCUCCUGCUGCAGGGUGGGGGUUGGAAAGUUUCGGCGGUUGGGGAUGGACUCGCGGCUUAUCAGCUUGUUGGUGGGGUAGUGGCGUACCAAGGCUUUGACGGGUAGCCGGCCUGAGAGGGUGACCGGCCACAUUGGGACUGAGCUACGGCCCAGACUCCUACGGGAGGCAGCAGUGGGGAAUAUUGCACAAUGGGCGGAAGCCUGAUGCAACAACGCCGCGUGCGGGAUGACGGCCUUCGGGUUGUAAACCGCUUUCGCCUGUGACGAAGCGUGAGUGACGGUAAUGGGUAAAGAAGCACCGGCUAACUACGUG